rnacentral:rRNA from 1 species
GAUUCUGGCUCAGGAUGAACGCUAGCUACAGGCUUAACACAUGCAAGUCGAGGGGCAUCGAGAGGAAAGCUUGCUUCCUGUCGGCGACCGGCGCACGGGUGAGUAACGCGUAUCCAACCUUCCCCUUAGUAGGGCAUAGCCCGGCGAAAGUCGGAUUAAUACCCUAUGUUUUCCGAUGAGGACAUCUGAGCUGGAAUAAAGAUUUAUCGCUAAGGGAUGGGGAUGCGUCUGAUUAGGUAGUCGGCGGGGUAACGGCCCACCGAGCCAACGAUCAGUAGGGGUUCUGAGAGGAAGGUCCCCCACAUUGGUACUGAGACACGGACCAAACUCCUACGGGAGGCAGCAGUGAGGAAUAUUGGUCAAUGGGCGAGAGCCUGAACCAGCCAAAAGUAGCGUGCAGGAUGACGGCCCUAUGGGUUGUAAACUGCUUUUAUCGGGGGAUAAAGUGAGGGACGCGUCCCUUUUUGUAGGUACCCGAUGAAUAAGGACCGGCUAAUUCCGUGCCAGCCGCAGC